CGGAAAGGGAAAGGCUUAGUGGCGGACGGGUGAGUAACGCGUGGGUAACCUGGCCCAUACAGGGGGAUAACACUUAGAAAUAGGUGCUAAUACCGCAUAACAACAGAAAGCGCAUGCUUUUUGUUUGAAAACCAAGGUGGUAUGGGAUGGACCCGCGUCUGAUUAGCUGGUUGGCGGGGUAAAGGCCCACCAAGGCGACGAUCAGUAGCCGGCCUGAGAGGGUGGACCGGCCACAUUGGGACUGAGACACGGCCCAAACUCCUACGGAAGGCAGCAG
rnacentral:rRNA from 1 species